rnacentral:tRNA from 1 species
GUCCUCGUAGUUAAAUGGAUAUAACGGCCCCCUCCUAAGUGGCAGUUACAGGUUCGAUUCCUGUUGGGGGCACCA